ACUGCAGACUGUAACAGACUUAAAAUUUUUGUGUAUUUGUGUGUUUUUCUAAAAAAAUUAGAGGAGAUCGAACAGUUAAACCAUCGCUUCUGUUAAACAUGUUCUGAAAUUCAGUACAAUUGUAGACUACUUUUUGGAAGCUGAAAGCUGACGAGAUGAAACUUAUUUUCACAGGAGAAAAUGCAUUGAAAUCCAACCACUUGAAAAAGUUUUCAUUUUGUGGUAAGCUUUGGACUAUUAAAAGCUAAAGUACAUACCAGUAUGAGAGAUCGUAUUUAUAUCUAAUGUUCACGUAGAACUUGAUGAAGAUAGCUCAAUUCAUAGAUCAGAAUGUAAGAGGCCUAUACUUAUGCCAUCACAAAGCUACCUUAUGCAUUUAUGGACAUUAUAUCAGUUACCAAUAUCCAAAGUCGAUGGACUGCCGGGAAAUAAAGAGGAAGGGACGAAAACAAAUAUCUAAAAUCUACGACAUAUUUUUUUUUAUAAAUAAUACAUUUUUAUGCCUUUA